rnacentral:rRNA from 1 species
GGCUUGUUGAUAAUAAUUUUAAGUCUAGCCUGCCCAAUGAGUGAUUGAAUGGCCGCGGUACAUUGACCGUGCAAAGGUAGCAUAAUCAUUAGUUUUUUGAUUGAAAGCUUGAAUGAAUGGUUUAAUGAAAAAGUUUCUGUCUCUAGAGAAGUUUACUAGAAUUUUAUUUUUAAGUUAAAAAGCUUAAAUGUGUAUAGAAGACGAGAAGACCCUAUAGAGUUUUACAUUUACUAUAAAGUAAUAAUUAGAGGUUUAAUUUUAUGUUGUUUUGUGGAAAUGUUUUGUUGGGGUGAUAGAAAAAUUAAUAAAACUUUUUUUAAGCAAGAACAUUGAUUUAUGAAUAAUUGAUCCUAAAAUUUAGAUUAUAAGAUAAAAUUACCUUAGGGAUAACAGCGUAAUCUUCUCUAGAGUUCUUAUCGAAUAGGGGGAUUGCGACCUCGAUGUUGGAUUAAAAUUUACUUUUGGUGUAGAAGCUAAGUAGUUAGGUCUGUUCGACCUU